AUUGAACGCUGGCGGCAUGCCUUACACAUGCAAGUCGAACGGUAACAGGUUAAGCUGACGAGUGGCGAACGGGUGAGUAAUGUAUCGGAACGUGCCCAGUCGUGGGGGAUAACUGCUCGAAAGAGCAGCUAAUACCGCAUACGACCUGAGGGUGAAAGCGGGGGAUCGCAAGACCUCGCGCGAUUGGAGCGGCCGAUACCAGAUUAGGUAGUUGGUGAGGUAAAGGCUCACCAAGCCGUCGAUCUGUAGCUGGUCUGAGAGGACGACCAGCCACACUGGGACUGAGACACGGCCCAGACUCCUACGGGAGGCAGCAGUGGGGAAUUUUGGACAAAGGGCGCAAGCCUGAUCCAGCCAUGCCGCGUGCGGGAAGAAGGCCUUCGGGUUGUAAACCGCUUUUGUCAGGGAAGAAAAGGUUCUGGCUAAUACCUGGGACUCAUGACGGUACCUGAAGAAUAAGCACCGGCUAACUACGUG
rnacentral:rRNA from 1 species